rnacentral:lncRNA from 1 species
AAAUAAUUAAAAAUAAUAAUUAUGCAUCGUGUUGGGCGACCUAUAGUAUAACAGAGAUGCGCCAAUGAUCACGUGAUUGCGAUAUUUUGCUGAUUGGUCAGAGUAAAUUGUAUAAACGUAGCCGCUGCCAUGUUGAAUUUCUCGCUGCCAUGUUGAAUCUGUCACUAUCUUUCAUACAAAAUUUACCAUGCCAACCAAUUGUGCUGCAAAUCGCUGUACGAACAACAGCAACAAAGGUUAUGUAGUAUUUAAUUUCCCAGCAAAUGCAGAUUGUCGUAAGAAAUGGAUAGCUGCUCUUUCAAAGAACCCCGAUUGGUGACCCACAGCUUCGCAAAGAAUUUGUGAGAAGGCACCGAACCAAAUUUACUUGUUUACGUUCAGCAACAAAUUCAAUUUCCGAUGGCGUGAAAUGUACCUAUGGGAAGAAAAUCACAAAAUGUUUUGAGUUUAACAGUAAGUUACAUUGUGUUAUUAAUGUCUUAUAUUAUGUUAUUUUCCGAAGUGCAAAGUCAAAGCAUACUGCACAUUACUACUAACCUCGCAAACUUUUUGAGAACUACUAGGUGUCCAAUUCUUGCCUCUUCCAACCGCAGCAAUCCAUUUUUGUUUACCCUUUAUCACUCCUGUUGGAACACCUAUAUGCAUUGCAACUGGAUGGCAUAGCGAGUGGUAAUGCUGUCUGUAAUACAAAGAACACAAUAAAUAACUUGACAAAGAAAUCAGCGUCGCCAAAUCAAGAGAUACUGUAAUAUUUCUUAUAGAAAACAAGAAUAAACAGUAAAUAUAUUGUUUCAAUAUAUUUCUCGAAUGCAACUGA